GCGCACGGGUGAGUAAUGUAUAGCUAAUCUGCCCUAUGCAGGAGGACAACAGUUAGAAAUGACUGCUAAUACUCCAUACUCCUUCUUAACAUAAGUUAAGUCGGGAAAGUUUUUCGGCAUAGGAUGAGGCUAUAUUGUAUCAGCUAGUUGGUGAGGUAAUGGCUCACCAAGGCUAUGACGCAUAACUGGUCUGAGAGGAUGAUCAGUCACACUGGAACUGAGACACGGUCCAGACUCCUACGGGAGGCAGCAGUAGGGAAUAUUGCUCAAUGGGGGAAACCCUGAAGCAGCAACGCCGCGUGGAGGAUGACACUUUUCGGAGCGUAAACUCCUUUUGUUAGGGAAGAACCAUGACGGUACCUAACGAAUAAGCACCGGCUAACUCCGUGCCAGCAGCCGCGGUAAUACGGGGGGUGCAAGCGUUACUCGGAAUCACUGGGCGUAAAGGACGCGUAGGCGGAUUAUCAAGUCUCUUGUGAAAUCCUAUGGCUUAACCAUAGAACUGCUUGGGAAACUGAUAAUCUAGAGUGAGGGAGAGGCAGAUGGAAUUGGUGGUGUAGGGGUAAAAUCCGUAGAGAUCACCAGGAAUACCCAUUGCGAAGGCGAUCUGCUGGAA
rnacentral:rRNA from 1 species